rnacentral:lncRNA from 1 species
UUUUUUUUUUUUUUUUUUGAGACGGAAUCUCACUCUGUUGCCUAGGCUGGAAUGCAGCAGCACCAUCUCAGCUCACUGCAGCCUCUGCCUCCUGGGUUGAAGCAAUUCUCCUGCCUCAGCCUCCCGAGUAACUGGGAUUACAGGUGCAUGCCACCAUGCCGGGCUAAUUUUUUGUAUUUUUGAUAGAGGUGGGGAUUCACCAUGUUGGCCGGGCUGGUCUCAAACUCCUGACCUCAAGUGAUUUGCCUGCCUUGGACUCCCAAAGUGCUGGGAUUACAGAUGUGAGCCACUGAGCCUGGCCUACACCUUAAUUUUUUUCACUUAACUACAUAUCUUUCAGGCUUUUCCCUUUUAGCAGAAGGAAAGUAUCAGUCCAUUUGGACAAUUAUAACAACACACCUUAGACUGCAUAAUUUGUAAAUAAUAGACAUUUAUUACUCACAGUUCUGGAGGCUGGGAAGUCCAAGAUCAAGGCACCAACAGAUUCAGUGUCUGGUGAGCACUUGUUCCUCAUAAAAGGGAACUUCUAGCUGUGUCCUCACAUGGUGGAAGGGGCAAACAGACUCCUCAAGCCUCUAUUAUUAAUAUAAUGGCACUAACAAGCCUCUAUUAUUAAUAUAAUGGCACGAAUCUCACUAAUGAGGGGAGAAUCCUCAUGACUUAAUCACCUCCUAAAGGCUCCAGCUCUUAACACUGUCAUAUUGAGUAUUAGGUUCCAAUGUAUGCAUUUUGGGGGCCACCCAUAUUCACACCAUAGUAGAAAGCUUCCUCAUUCUCUUUGAUAGCUAUAUGAUUGCCCAUUGUCUGAUUGUACCGUAACUUAUAUAACCAGAGCCCUCCUGGUAUUAUUUGGGUUGCUUCCAUUUUUUCGCUAUUGCAAAUAAAGCUGGGGUGAAUAAUCUUAAGCACACGUAAUUUCACGUGUAGGCAAAUGUAGCUGUGGGAUACAUUCCUUGACGCAGAUUGUUGGGUCGAAGAGAAAACGCAUUUGUAAAUUUGAUGGCUAUCACCAAACAGAGAUUUUAGGAACGUACACUUCCACCAGCAGAGUCAGAGGGUUGAAUGGCGCAUAGUAUCCACACACUUAGCCAGAGCUAGUAUCCUCUUACCACACUCCAAGGAGGAAGGAAAAAACAUGUGAGAAAGGAAGAGCUAUUUAUCCGACACCCACCUGCUAUGUGGCAGACACACUCUGUAUACACACCCUAGAUACAUUGCCUUCCUGUAAGGCAAAGUGUGUUUCCCUGAUUUUUAUAUGUGAGGAAACUGAGUCUCAGGUUAAGGAAACUUACACAACGUCUCAAGAAAGUAGAAGAGUCCUGAACCCAUGGCUGGCUCUGAAGCCCGUGUUUGUUCCAGGGGGCCAUGUCAUGGUGCCAGGGAGAAUAUCUCAGCCGGGCUCUGGUGUUUCGCCAAGGCUGUUUCUGUCAGCAUUC